rnacentral:rRNA from 1 species
GAUGAACGCUAGCAGAACGCCUAACACAUGCAAGUCGAACGGAUUUCUUUUGGUAGCAAUACUGGAUGAAAUUAGUGGCAAACGGGCGAGUAACACGUACUUAACCUACCCUGGAGACGGGAACAACUACAGAGAUGUAGCUAAAUCCCGAUAUUCUGUAAGGAAUGAAAAUACUUACAGGAAAUAAUUUAUUGCUCUAGGGAGGGGGUGGGUCGGCCGUA